ensembl:snRNA U2 U2 spliceosomal RNA
AUCGCUUCUCGGCCUUUUGGUUAAGAUCAAGUGUAGAAUACUGGAUUUUUUAUUUUUAUUUUUUUCCAGAUGGAGUCUUGCUCUGUUGCCCAGGCUGGAAUGUAGUGGCACGAUCUCGUCCCACUGCAACCUCC